ACAUCCAGCGAACUUGGCAGAGAUGCCUUGGUGCCUUCGGGAACGCUGAGACAGGUGCUGCAUGGCUGUCGUCAGCUCGUGUUGUGAAAUGUUGGGUUAAGUCCCGCAACGAGCGCAACCCUUAUCCUUUGUUGCCAGCGAUUCGGUCGGGAACUCAAAGGAGACUGCCGGUGAUAAACCGGAGGAAGGUGGGGAUGACGUCAAGUCAUCAUGGCCCUUACGAGUAGGGCUACACACGUGCUACAAUGGCGCAUACAAAGAGAAGCGACCUCGCGAGAGCAAGCGGACCUCAUAAAGUGCGUCGUAGUCCGGAUCGGAGUCUGCAACUCGACUCCGUGAAGUCGGAAUCGCUAGUAAUCGUGGAUCAGAAUGCCACGGUGAAUACGUUCCCGGGCCUUGUACACACCGCCCGUCGCACCAUGGGAGUGGGUUGCAAAAGAAGUAGGUAGCUUAACCUUCGGGAGGGCGCUUACCACUUUGUGAUUCAUGACUGGGGUGAAGUCGUAACAAGGUAAGCGUAGCGAG
rnacentral:rRNA from 1 species